rnacentral:rRNA from 1 species
GACGAACGCUGGCGGCGUGCUUAACACAUGCAAGUCGAACGGAAAGGCCCUGCUUUUGUGGGGUGCUCGAGUGGCGAACGGGUGAGUAACACGUGAGUAACCUGCCCUUGACUUUGGGAUAACUUCAGGAAACUGGGGCUAAUACCGGAUAGGAGCUCCUGCUGCAUGGUGGGGGUUGGAAAGUUUCGGCGGUUGGGGAUGGACUCGCGGCUUAUCAGCUUGUUGGUGGGGUAGUGGCUUACCAAGGCUUUGACGGGUAGCCGGCCUGAGAGGGUGACCGGCCACAUUGGGACGGAGAUACGGCCCAGACUCCUACGGGAGGCAGCAGUGGGGAAUAGUGCACAAUGGGCGGAAGGCUGAUGCAGCAACGCCGCGUGCGGGAUGACGGCCUUCGGGUUGGAAACCGCUUUCGACUGUGACGAAGCGUGAGUGACGGUAAUGGGUAAAGAAGCACCGGCUAACUACGUG